UGUCCGGAGUUGAUUGCAAUAGGUCAAAACCAACCCUUUUCUAUAGCCGAGGUCCUAUCUUUUAAUCAAGAAGAUAAUGCACUUUUAGCUACACCUAGGGAAUCUGUUAAUCUUUUUCUAAAUUCUGGUUUAGACCUAGCCCUACAAGACCAUGUUUUUCCUAAAUAUUUUCACAUUGGUCUUAAUCAUAUAACCUUUGCU
rnacentral:lncRNA from 1 species